CGCUUCUCGGCCUUUUGGCUAAGACAGUGAUCCCCUCCGUUAUAUGUUUAUAUAUUGCAUAUUUAGUGGCAAUUAUAUAGCAGGUUAGGAGGAUAUUGCACCAUCUUUUUGGUAAAGUGGGGUCAAUUACCAGUUGCUGAUACCCUUUACCAAGAAGACCAUUGUCCAGUUCGUUUAAACGAUAAGGUAAGUGGAUUUUAUUGUUGCCUAUAUUACUUUGUUUACUCACUGUUUUAUUGCUUUUAACCUCUUAAAUUGUUAAGAGUGUGGUGUCUCCAUCAUGUCGGUUAACCCUUCCGGCAUGAGGAGGCACCACAGUGUACGUUUUAAAUUUAAGUCGAUUAAUGGAAUUUUAAUUCAGAUGUCCCGGCUUGAUUUUUCAAGGAAGCACAUCCAAGGAAUCCUGAAGUUUACCGCAAACGACUUGAAUUGUAUUCUUACUCUGCCCUUUAACAAAGGAUUCGAUGUUAGCUUCGCAGCCGCAACAACCCUCAAAGAAUUUUGGACACGCUACGACACGGUAAAAGACCAGUUCUCAGCAUUUGAAGUGGAGAGACUAAAUGACGAUUCCAUUAAAACCGUAAUCGUCAGGAUGUUCAAUGAAACUGUAAAUGCUGAUGAUAUUUGUAUAUGGCUGGCAAGAUACUGCACUGUGAGGGCCCAGGCCACCAAGGUGAGAGAUGAGGAUGGCAUCUGGAACUGUUCAUGGAGGGUCCCCAUACAACAAUGGCGGGACCCACAUGGCUUCCAGGGCCUGAAACAUCUCCCAUCCAUGAUGGCUCUUGGAGAGAACAGGGGCUACAUUCACUACCAGGGACAGCCCAAGCUCUGCCGCAAGUGUGGCGAGCAAGGGCACCUGGCGUGUACCAAGGUUGUUUGCGGCAAAUGUAGAGAAAUUGGACACUCUUUGGAAGAAUGUACCAAUGGCAGGAAGUGCAACCUCUGUGGAGACUCAAACCAUCUCUUCAGAGAUUGCCCGAAAUCUUUUGCUAACAAAGUAAAACAAAAUGCAAGGAAAGUGGCAGACGGGGGUGCACAAACAAUUGAAGACACCAGGCUGCAAAAAAUUACUCUGAUUGGGGGAGAGGGGGAGGGGCCUGAGGUUGCCCCACCUAGUGGUGAAGUGAAAGAGGGUGGUGGGGCCCAGGCAGCCGGUGGAGCAGAGAUGGACUCCACUUCAGACUCUGACGAAACCGGGAGUCUCGAGACAGUCGGCCGGUCGGAAGGGUCUGGGGUGGAGUCCAGUGAAGCCUCCCUCCCAGGAGCCCAGCCUGGGAAGAGAGCAGUGUCGGAGAUGUCCUUGGAAAAUGACGGAGCCUCGGAGAAAAGGGGAAGAGCUGGCUCCUCAGACAGUUCAUCUGUCGGGGAGCACAGUCUUCCCGAACCACCCCCCCAACACUCUCUCCUUUUUAUAUGGAGUCAGUUUCCUGCCAUAAUUCAAACCUGAAAAAAAAAGUUUCAAAGGCUUGUAAGUCUGGGUUUGAAAACUCAACACCUUGUAAAAAAGGUUUUGCAACACUGAAAAAGGAGAUUAUAACCUGAAAAAAAAUAAAACUAAAAUUCAAACAUCUGUAAACAUGAUUUUGUGUUCUAUUUUAUCUUCUUCAUCAUUUUCACCAACAUAUUUUCAAAGUUCAAACAAUUUCACCAGCGCAUUUGCAGAGUUUCAAAUCUGGCACUGUUCUAACGGUGUAUUUCAUUGUUGCCCGGUUUUGAAACCUUGUAAAUGGGAUUCUGCAAACAGGUGUUCAUACAUUGAGAAAUACGUUUUGAAAGGUUGAAUAUUUAGUUUUAAAAACGUGUAGAGGUGUACGUUUACGACAUUGCAACGUCUUUUUUUCAGAACUGACUUUUCAGCACUGCCUUUUCAGAGAUUUGACCACACAGGCGCAAGCUUUGAGUCACGUGAAUAUUGGCAGUGUUCUGACGCCACUCGUUUUGAAACUCCUGACAGUCGAAUCUGAAAGAAAAAAAAACGUUCCUGGGGGCGGGACCAUUUAGCUCUAAACCUAUUGGUUGCUCUUGGCUGACGUACAUUCCAAUCACAUGUACCGUUCACCGGGCUGUGCGUGAUUGACAGUGCUCUGCCGAUGACACGAAUAAGAAGAGACCUUCGCGGUUGAUUUUGAUUUCCAUUUUCUGGAACCAUGGCUGGGCGACACGUGAGUAAUUUUAUUCGAUAUUGUAUGCGUUCUAAAUCGUCGCCUUAUUCACUAUGUAGGCUACUUAUAUAAUACAGGGACAUUUAUCCGUUUAGCCCUUCCGUCCAUAGUUAACCGGAGAAUUCCGACACGAAAACGAUCGCUGAGGUGGAUAUAUGUCAGGCUGACCCAUUGUCAGGGUCAGCCUGGUGUGAGAAUGGUCCGAGUCGGGGAUGGGCAUAUGUCAGUAUCCCCGCAGUGUUAUUCAUUGCGCGGCCUUCGAGGCUCGCCAAGCUUUAAUUUGUGGCUCGCAUGGCAUAAAUAAUAGGGUGAUUUGACCACGUAGCCAAUAGGCCUACAGAUAGCCUAUUUCAUGAAAACACUAAAAACUAGCGGGGAUUCAACAUGUAGGCCUAACCCAUUUAAACUAGAAGUGUCUGUUCUUAUUGUUCUCUCUUACCCAAAACAGUGGCAUUACAAGGUGGACAACAGACAAUAGAUAAUACUUGUAUUUUUAUUUUAUUUAUAAUUUAAUAAAAAUAUUUUUUAUGCAGGCCUAUCCAAAAUUCAUAGGCACAAUGAAUAUAGAAGGCACAUCAUUUUGAAAAAGGUUGACAUUUCUGUAUCAUUCAUUCUUUUUGACUUUCUAUGUAGUAUUUGAAUAUUUUGAGAUCCUGGAUUUUUUAUUCCAUGAGGUGUAGUCAUCAUCUACAAAAGAAAGGCCUGACCUACCUAGUUUUUCACUUUUUGUAAUGAAUAUAAAAUUGAUAUUUUCACUUUUUGAAUGAAACUGGCGCAUCUAAUAUUUUUAGAUGCGCCAGUUUGGAUACUUUUCACAUUGACAAUAUCUGUGCUGCAUGUGUGAAAGGGUAGAACUCAGUCUUUAUUUGUUUUUAUGAGUUGAGUACGCAUUUCAACUUUACUUUGCUCUUUUAUUUCCAGGAUGUCCUUCAGGAGGAGUUACUUGCACGGCUACAGUCAAGACUCCAGCAAGCACUUUCCAGGCAGCCUCUUGAUUUGGACUUCCUAGAGUUUGUCUGCUGCAACGAAUUAGUUUUAUUUCAAUCUUUUGCUGAUCAGAUCCACAUAGACAAUGAUAUUUUGCAGCAGUUAAACCAUUUGUUGGAGCUGGUCCAUGCGGCAAUUGUGAACAGUCCAACUGAAUAUUAUUUUGACACAGCUGUGGGUUUGAGGGGAAAACCCAGAAUGAUAAUCGAGAAAGAUCAGCUGCAACAUUUGUUAGACUCGCAAUUCUCUGUGCCAUGCAUAGCUCAGUUAUUAGGUGUAUCACCAAGAACUAUUUUUCGAAGGAUGGCAGAGUAUGGGCUGAGCGUGAGAGGAUUCUACAGCACCAUGACUGACGCAGAGCUCGAUAAUAUGGUCAGAGCUAUUAAAACACAGAUGCCCAAUGCAGGGUACAGGAGUGUAAAGGGACAGCUCAUGGCAAUGGGUAGCCGUGUUCAAUGGGAGAGGAUUACAGACUCCAUGCAUCGUGUCGAUGCAGCUGGAAUCCUGUCCCGACUUGCGAGGCUUGGCUGCACUGUACGAAGAUCAUACUCAGUACGAGGUCCCCUUGCAUUGGUGCACAUUGACACAAACCAUAAACUCAUCAGGUAUGGUUUAGGUUCCGUCUUCAUGACUUUUAAGCUAAAUUAAAUCAGGUUAUCUAUUUUCCUGGGCGUGAUAUGAGUCAAUAUGGAUGCGUACUAAACAACAGUAAAUAAAUUAAGGCAUGCAUGACAAUUAAAUGUAUAACAUUUAUUAUAUUUUAAUUGUAUUACUUUUAUUCAUAGGUACAACCUGGUAAUAUUUGGUGGAGUUGAUGGAUUUUCCAGAAAGGUCCUGUACUUGGAUGCAGCAACCAACAACCGUGCCAAUACAGCAUUCUCCUUUUUCCUUGAGGCCACUCGGUUACAUGGUGUUCCAUCAAGGGUUCGUGGAGAUCAAGGCGUUGAAAAUGUGGACAUUGCCCAUUUCAUGUUCGAGAGACGUGGAACCGGUCGAGCUAGCUUUAUCUCGGGAAAGAGUGUACACAAUCAAAGGAUUGAACGGAUGUGGCGAGAUGUGUGGAUGGCUGUGACUUGCAUCUUUUAUGAUGUGCUUCACACGCUCGAGGAAGAUGGUGUUUUGGACAUAGCAAACAUAAUGCACCUUUUCUGCGUGCAUUACGUCUUCCUGCCUCGCCUUCGAUCAGCACUACAGGUCUUUGUAGCUGGCUGGAAUCACCAUCCCCUCAGAACGGAGAGAAACCACACCCCAGAGCAGCUGUGGCAGAUGGGACACCUCAACACUCCACAGGACAGUGAAGAUCUUGAGGACCUGCAAAAUCGAGAACUGGACAGGGAGGGUUCCCUGAUGACCCCAGAGGCCACUGUCGGAGGAGUUCAGGUCCCGGAAUUUCAACCGCCUCUGCCUGCUGAAGAUCUGGCAGUACUUCAGUCGGCAAUCAACCCUUUAGUUGAUUCAGAUUCAAAUGGUUAUGACCUGUAUAUACAGGUGUUAGAAUUUGUUAAACACACGCUUCAACACCCCAUUGAUUAGAUAGUUCUGGGUCCAACUAACACAGAGAACUCAAGCAUGCAUCACACCAGGUCGUUUUUUUUGUUGCUAUUAUUUAUAGAUUUAAGUGGGAGGUGAUCUCCAUUGUGCAAUUACUUGCUGGAAUUCGUCAACUUUUUCAAACAGAACAGCAGGGAUUCUUGUAUUGUGGAAUAAAAUGCUGAACUCAAAAAGACCACUGCAAUGCUUUUCAUUUUUACUCAGUUGGCAAGAAUUCAAAUAGUAAACAUGCUGCAAGUUUAGGCACAGCAUCAUUCAUACAACACAAUACUCUGCAUGCUAACAGAGUGAACCACAUAACAAAAAAUCUGAAAGCUUAUUUAGAAUAAAAUUCACAUUUCCAUACAACAAACACAGGCGUUGCGGUCUGUACACAAAGCAAAUAGGCCUCCAACUCGACUGUUCCAACCUAGCUCUAGAAGAGCUUUGCAAUUCUAACAUGAAGAUGUAACCUCAUCAGUCCAAUAACAGUUUAAAGAUGCUCGAACUCAUCAACAUUUAACAAGAACAUUCUGCAAGGACCAGCAGCAUUAUACAAGUCCAAAUCCCGUAUCCCACGUCCCGAUGGAUGCCUCAAGAGCUUGUUUAAAAUCGUCGUAAGUUGAGAGGUGGCCAGGGAUGCGGAGGCACAUGUAACAGGUGGAGGAUUUGGGGAACUGCCCACGCACAACCUCCACUUUCAGCAUCCCAGAUAACACUUCCCACCCAGUCCAAAACCGGAGUAGGUUUAAGCGAGACACUGCUGGAGCUACAAAAAAAGAGUUUUAAUUAGCAUAAAUAAUUAAGGAACAAAGACAGGAACAUAUAUUUUUACUGCUGUGAAAAUGGUAGAUCCUACAAACAAAAUUGUAGCCUUAAGCUGUGGGCUAUUCUAAAAAUACUGUCAUCAUUCUUUGACGUCUUCAUAAUGAGAGGUAUAUGGGAAUGGCAUACCAGUUUCAAUGAACUGCUGGAGGAACAUCCCAACCUUGGCUCUGGUCUCAAGAGGAUAGUCCUCGUCUUCUUCAUCGACUGACUCAGUCGGCCAGAUGAUGUGAUCAAUCAUGACCUAGUUGUCACAACUUGUUAGUUAGAUACUUCCUCCAAAUCUUUCUUAUCUGCUGAGUACGUCUAUGCACACUUUUUUUGUAUAUUAAUGUACAUUGGCAAUAAAGGAUAAUCUGAUUUAAUCAGAACAGUAAAUCUCAGGAAUAAGAAAGCAAUAUACAGUAACAUAAAUCAGUUCAAUAAAAAAAUGUUUUUGAUAGAGUAGUUCCACAUAGGAGUAUAGCAACUCAUAAUCUCCAUGGAGAGUACCGGUAUGUACGUAGAUAGAGUACCCAUUGUAAACUUAACCUUUAUUGAUUUGUACCUGCAUCAGUUAAAAAUUCUAAUUUCUGGCAUUCUUAUCACUAGUUCGACAAUAUGUGUAAUUUGUGCUUGUGAUUUGAAAGUAUAUGCUGCUUAGUUUACA